rnacentral:ncRNA from 1 species
AUCGUGAGGUGGCUGACGGAGGUAGUUGGAAUCCAAGAGAUUCUAUUGCAAAAUUCUGAACCAAGGAACACGAACAGCAUAAGGCAUGAAUAGUGAGGAUAAGGAUGCUUUACAAUCUGAAGUCCUAAAGAUCGGACACUAAAAUGUAAAUGCUGUGGUUGGAUGGAAGGAAAGUUA